GACGAACGCUGGCGGCGUGCUUAACACAUGCAAGUCGAACGGAAAGGCCCUGCUUUUGUGGGGUGCUCGAGUGGCGAACGGGUGAGUAACACGUGAGUAACCUGCCCUUGACUUUGGGAUAACUUCAGGAAACUGGGGCUAAUACCGGAUAGGAGCUCCUGCUGCAUGGUGGGGGUUGGAAAGUUUCGGCGGUUGGGGAUGGACUCGCGGCUUAUCAGCUUGUUGGUGGGGUAGUGGCUUACCAAGGCUUUGACGGGUAGCCGGCCUGAGAGGGUGACCGGCCACAUGGGGACGGAGAUACGGCCCAGACUCCUACGGGAGGCAGCAGUGGGGAAUAUUGCACAAUGGGCGGAAGCCUGAUGCAGCAACGCCGCGUGCGGGAUGACGGCCUUCGGGUUGUAAGCCGCUUUCGCCUGUGACGAAGCGUGAGUGACGGUAAUGGGUAAAGAAGCACCGGCUAACUACGUG
rnacentral:rRNA from 1 species